CUGACACUUUGUCUCUGACUUCUGUGACUCUGGAUCAGUCAGGAACAUAUAAAUUGACAGCUGCCUUUCAGAAUAAUCAACUCCAGACUAACAUGGCAUUUAAUAUCCAUGUUCUUAUAAAGAGAAGUGAAGGGCUGAGCAAGGAUCAUGGGGAUUAUUCUUCAGCAACCUGGUGCAUAAGCAGUCCUUAAGGAGUGUCAUGGAUGGACUGGCCAAUAGGAGAAGAGAUGUGGGUAAUCUACAUGCUCCAGUACCAGAGCAUGUGCACUGUUUGGAAAAAAUAUGUCCCAUCAGUCAUCUAAUAUGGGCACAUGAUCUAUUAUGCAAUGUGCUUGUGGCAGUAGCACAAUUAUUAACCAAAUUCUAUCAUUUUGAAUUCAAUCAAUGCAUUCACCCAGAAUGGGCAUUAAAAAAAAGAUAAAU